UUUCCUAUAAAAGGAGAGUUUCUUCUGGCUUUAAAACGUUGUUCAUAUCAUUGAGAAAACUAGUUUUACAAUUGAGAUAUAAGAGAUUUCAAAGGAUUAGCAUGAGUUCUUGAAACAUUUCUCAAAUCACAAAGUGUGCUCGUUCUUGGUUGGUUCUAAGGCUUGGCUAGAGGUGUUGUCAUUGUGUGAGCAAUCUGUUCUACUGGUCUAAGGCAGAUUUCUGCAUUCUCUAUCAUGUGUAUUCGUUUCAUAUCUCAAUUCCUUGUAAAGUGUGAUUGUAAGAAUCUUCUUGAUAGAGUUUCUUGAAGAGUUGUGCGUGCUGGAAUAGUGUUUUUCAGCAAGGUGUGCCAUGUUCUUGUAGGGUUCAAGAACAAUGGUUUUUGUAAUUGUUUUGGAUUGUGGUUUAGUGGAUUUCACCUUGGAUUAGGUGAAGACUGGAUGUAGCUCACUUGGUGA
rnacentral:lncRNA from 1 species